rnacentral:SRP_RNA from 1 species
CCUUUAGACCUGUGCAAUGGUUGUUUGGAGCAAUGAGUCAGAGUGGGAACACAGCAGCUCACUCCACUCGGUUAUGUGCCGCAGGUAUCUGGAGGGGA